CAACUUAUUUCUAUAGUCAGAGAAAUGCCAAAAGGUAUUAACAAAAUAAUAAAAAUACAUGGCCCAUCUGAUAAACUUCCUUGGAUGAGAUGUAGAAAACACACCCAAGAUCUGGGGGCUGGAAAUUCUGAGACAUGGGUACCAGUUCCUACUCUGCCAUUGACUAUGUGCCCUUGAGUAUGUUACAUCCCUUGCAGAGCCUCGGUUUCUCCAUCCAGAAAAGAGGGAGCCGGAAAAGGUUUUUCUGAGGUCACUUUCAGUUCUGACACUGUGUGACAUGCUCUGUCCUGUAAAAAGUGACCCCAAACGAAAUGCUUUUAAGCAGCUGUGUGGGGUCGGGGGGAGGAGGGAAGUACUUUUUUUUUUUUUUUUUUUUUGAGAUGGAAUCUCGCUCUUUUGCCCAGGCUGGAGUGAAGUGGCAUGAUCUGGCUCACUGCAACCUCUGCCCCCACACCCCAGGUUCAAGUGAUUCUCCUGCCUCAGCCUCCGGAGUAGCUGCGACUACAGGCACCCACCAGCACUGUGUAAUUUUUUGUAUUUUUAGUAGAGGCGGGGUUUUGCCACGUUGGCCAGUCUGGUCUCGAACUCCUGACCUCAGGUGAUCCACCCGCCUCUGCCUCCCAAAGUGCUAGGAUUACAGGCAUGAGCCACCGCACCAGGCUGAAAGUACAUUUUUAAGCAGUAAAAUCUAAUAACACAGUUAACCAGAAAAUCUUUCCAACAUUCAGCAGUACUAGUAUCUUGCAUUCUAGGAACCGGAACAUUCCUUUACUAACUGGCUUUUCCAUUAAAGCUGCUGAUGCCUAGAGUAAUAAAAACACGACUGCACUGGACAGUGUUCUUAAAGUUCACAUGACUGGGAUGCUUCCCAGAAAAUAGCUCCAUUAUCUUCACAUUUUCAUCCUAUAAUAAUUUGUAAUCCAGGAAGGGUAUGUGAGUGACGUUCCAGACUCUGCCAG
rnacentral:lncRNA from 10 species